rnacentral:rRNA from 1 species
GCGGAAGGAUCAUUAUUGAAUGAAAAUGGCUUGAGGCUGUAGCUGGCUCUUGGGAGCAUGUGCACGUCUCUUGCCUAUUUGCUUUUAUCCACCUGUGCACAAUUGUAGACUACUUGGGAUUGAGGGGCCUUUACCAGCCUCUUGCUGACGAAGUCCAAGUGUCUAUGUCAAUUUUUAACACAUACAAUUGCAUGUCUAGAGAAUGUAGUUCUAAUGCAGCUCUGAUUAUGGGCAUUUAAACAAAAAUAUAUAACUUUCAACAAUGGAUCUCUUGGCUCUCGCAUCGAUGAAGAACGCAGCGAAAUGCGAUAAGUAAUGUGAAUUGCAGAAUUCAGUGAAUCAUCGAAUCUUUGAACGCACCUUGCGCUCCUUGGUACUCUGAGGAGCAUGCCUGUUUGAGUGUCAUUAAAAUUCUCAAAACCUACAUUUGAUUAUGUGGUGGUUUUGGACUAUGGGAUUGCUGGUUCUCGUUGUGGACUCUAGCUCUCCUGAAAUGCAUGAGUAGGGUUAAUGCAAUAUAUGCUCUAUGGUGUGAUAAGAUGGGGAAUGUCGAACACCCUUGGAGUUGUUGUAUAGCCUGCUAUCUAACASUCCGUUGGACAAAUUGACAAAGUUGACCUCAGA